rnacentral:rRNA from 1 species
UGGAUAGAACGCUAGCGACAGGCCUAACACAUGCAAGUCGAGGGGCAGCACGGUGUAGCAAUACGACGGGUGGCGACCGGCGCGACGGGUGAGUAACGCGUAUGCAACCUGCCUACUACAAGGGGAUAACCCGUUGAAAGACGGACUAAUACCCUAUAACACAGGGAAUCCGCAUGGAUAUAUUUGUUAAAGAUUUAUCGGUAGUAGAUGGGCAUGCGUUCCAUUAGCUUGUUGGUGAGGUAACGGCUCACCAAGGCAACGAUGGAUAGGGGAACUGAGAGGUUGAUCCCCCACACUGGAACUGAGACACGGUCCAGACUCCUACGGGAGGCAGCAGUGAGGAAUAUUGGUCAAUGGAGGCAACUCUGAACCAGCCAAGUCGCGUGAAGGAUGAAGGUCUUAUGGAUUGUAAACUUCUUUUGCAGGGGAAUAAAUAGCGGUACGUGUACCGUUUUGCAUGUACCCUGCGAAUAAGGAUCGGCUAACUCCGUG